UCCAGAGUCGCCAUGUGAUCCACCUGCAAGAAAGGGCACCAGUGGAAGGCAUCCUCUAUAAGGUGUGCUUGCAGAGACUUCUGCCACAGGGGCUGGAACACAGGAAGCACAUGGCCGCACCAGCAGAGGUGUCUUUGCCUGUGACUCUCCACACAAAUGAGGGUCCUUUCCUCUUGAGAACCUGUGUCUUCACGCUGGCGCACUCUGGCUGAGUUCUCCUAACCUGGACCUGGGACCACAUGCCAUUAAGCACAUGUACCACACAUGGCAGGCAUAUCUGCACAGGGCAUUCUGAGGCCACAGGAGGAAUGAGGUUUGUUCUCUACUGGAAUGACAGUGGGAGUGGCAAGCCAUUUCUUCUCCCACUGCCAAUGCAGAGACACCCAUGCUGUCUCUGGCCUCCUGGAAUCAGCUUCCAGCUUCACUGGUUGCUGUUUGGUGCCAGAAGACUGCCUGUGACAGGAGAACAGCCUGGAGAACCCAGUCUUUUCUGGAAUUGUUCUUGCUCAGGUGGCAGACAGGGGCCACUCUCGAAGAAUCUGGCUUUUCCUCACAAGUCAGCAGUUCCCCUAGAGAAGAAACACCCGGGCUUGGCCAGCUUUGCUGGGCUGCUUGCCAUUCUCCUCUCACUUCACAUUCUGUCCUGCACUUUGUGCCAUGCCAUUUUCUUUCUCAGUGGAAUUCAAGCUCUGUGUAUACAGCAAGACGGAGGAGCGGCUGGUGGCACUCUCUGCAGUGGCAGAUGACACUGGGGAACUGGAAGUCCAUGUUGCCACAGAAUUUUGGAAGGCUGUUGAAUAGAUAAAAAUCAACGAUGAGACUGACUGCUCACUUUCCAGUCCUGGGCAUCCAGGAGAGCUGCAGACUUCUGUCUGGAACUUACUGAGGCUUCUUUGGGGCAAUAAUUCAAUACGAGAAGAAUGAUAUUCAUCAAUCAGGCAUGCUAGCUCUGCAUGUUUCAUCUAAAGCCCCUGUGAAAGCUGGCCCUGGAAUGAAUAAAAGACACGGAAAAUGACACUCACGAACUCUCCAACCCUGUCACUUGGGAGAAUAGACCUUUUCAUCUGCACUUGGGACUUCCGCAAAACCAGUUUAUGCUAAGGCACCAGCGAGUCACAGGAAGCCCAAGCUUUGGUCUUCCUGAAAGGUAAUAGUGGCUUCAUAAAGAGAACUAAGAAAUGUUCUUCUUGCAAAUGGAUGGAACCCAGAUCCAGAAAGACAAACAUGACUAAGAGAUUGCCUGUCUGCACCUUUGACUACUGCCAGACCUCCCCAAGGCAGCACAGUCACCAACCCACAGAAAGAAGCAUAAUGUAUUUACACACUGUGCCUCCGUGGCACCUUGACACCCUCGAUGUCUCCUACCUGCAUCUGCCUGCUGUGACAGCCAGAGUCUUACAAUGGAUAAGUUCUGAUCUGAGGAUGGCUUCAGAUGGGAACUGGGGAUGCAGCUGUGUCUGAAGCAAGGGCUGGACCAUACUGGAACUUAGGAUGCCCAGGCAGGCAGAACUUGGAUGCUGGGUGCCUGAAGAGGAAGAUAGCCUUUAUAAUCGUCAAUAAACUUCCUGGAAGAAGGCCUCUGUGGGUUUUCCUCCAUCCUCUUAACUAGGAGGCAUUUCACUUUAAAAAGUCCAUUUCCUGGACCACAGAUACAGCUCAGCAGGCAACGAUGCUUGCCACACACCCUAGUGACCGGGGUUCCAACCCCUGGAUUCCAUAAGAUAGGAAAAGGAAGCCGAGUCCUGCGAUGUCUUCUGACUCUCACUGUGCCCUGUGGACUGAAAAAUAUCUCUCAAAAGAAGAAAACAAGCAAAAAACACCUGAAAAAAUAUUCAACAUCCUUGGCCAUCCGGGUGAUAUGGAUUGGAAGUACCCAAGAUCCCACUGCCCCUCUCACAUUUUCCUUUUAGACCAUCUCCAUUUCUGUGACUCCCAGUGACCCAGGCUGGUACUCAGACCAGAGCUCCCAUCAACCCUCAUUGGAGAAACAGCUUCUUGCAGUAGAUGGGGGUUACCGAGAGAUCCACAAGUGGACAAUGUGCCAAGAGCAAAAGAGUUCUAUCUAAAUGGGAUGUCUUAUCCAACCUCUUCCCUCAAGCCCCAGGGAUCUAUGUGAAAGAGGAGGUGGAGUGAUUUUAAGCGACAGAGGUGGUGGCUGACUCCAAGGAAGCACUGUCUUCCAGACACACCAGGAGUGCUAUACGUAUGAACUCUAGAGAUGUAUAAGACAUGCACAGGGUAAAACCAGACAAAACCCCAAUAUUGAGAAGGAGUAGUGGACACAAAUUCCGACCUUUUACCAAGAAGCUAUUUGUCAUUGAUGCCUGCUGGGAAAUGGGGGAAUCAGUUUUCUCCAGAGGAGAGACUCUGAGUUAUCAGCUACAGCUUUGGGCAGGCCCAUGCCUAGGAGCAGCUGGCCAACACAAAAGGGACUCCAUGUUUAUUUGUUUGUUUUCCCCAUUGUGCACUUUUAUUUUGUUUUGGAUUUUUUUGCAGUGUUGGAUUUUGUUGAUUUUGAUUUUGAUUUUGAUUUUUUUUUUGAGGGAAGGGAGUGUGAACAUGAAGUUGGAUGGGUAGGAGGAGGGGGAAACAUGAUCAGAAUAUAUUGUAUAAUUUUUUAAAAAAUAGAAAAUGAAGCACAAAAGAAAGUGCUCACAGCUACAGAGCACGCCCCCAGUAAAUGUCAUAAAAAUUAAAAAAUAUUAAAAAGUAGACUUUCUCUUUUUGUCUUAGCUUGCACAGGGGACUCAGCAUCUCCUGCACUGGAGCCUAGAGGAGCUAUCAGGGGCACAUGCUCUGGGAGAACUGGGGGGUAUCAGGGGUUUGACUUUUGGAACAUGUCUUGUGACGGACUCCCAAUCAUUGGAAAGUGGCUCCUUGCACACAGAGUCAGAGACCUGGCUCCCUCUCCAAUAGGGGCUAAUUGGAUGCAAGUCAUUCCCACCUUAGCGGGAACCACACAAUAGGACAAUAUAACAGUAUAGGGGUGGCCUGUCACCCCUAGGACAAUGAGAUGGGUCAACUUGAGAUCAAUCUCAUGGGAGGCUGUGUGAGCAAGGAUUCUAGAGCCAUGUGUGCAGAGGUCUAGAAGCUGAGAGCGAUCCCAUGGGCAUCCACCUACCAUCAAGGGCCUGGUGAUGAGCCAUCUACCCACAAAAGCUGCAGCGAAACCCGCCUGCCUUCACUUCUACUCCCUCAGGACUGUGUUACAGAAGUUUCACCUCAACAUGUCUCCCGAGUUUCCCUCCCAGAAAGCCCUCCAGACGAGAAUGGGAUGAGAUGAACAGUUUCUGUUGGUCCCAAUGGUGUGCCCAGGACAAUUAUGCUGUGCUGCUUUCAAAGGACUCCACGUCUGAGAGCCGCAUUUGGCUACCUCCACUUUGUGGUCCUGUCGUCACCCAACGCACUCCUCAUGGCUUCCACGAAGGAGAAGGAAAGAGACCCUGCCAUUUGUGACAAAAUGCAGGAGCUAGAGGACUUACACUAGAAGAGACAAUAGAGAGGUUCUCUGAUCUCUGUAAUACAAAUUCACCUCAGAGGCAGAGACAGAGACAGAGACAGAUGGAAACCAUGGCUGUGGAAUAGAGGUGGUAUUGAGGAGGUGUCAGUCAAAGGUACAGCAUCUCAGACAGGAGGAGCAAGUUAUGGAGACCUGAACAGCAUGCUGAGGAGUUGACAGCAUUUGUCACACACUGAAAGUUGGAAAGAGAGGAAAUUUCCCAUGUUUUCACCCUGAAAAAGUGGCAAGCUUUAGUGGAUAGACAUGUUAAUCAAUAUAACUUAAUCUUUCCAAAAUGAAUCUCAUCACAAACAUCAUUUUUGUGCUCACAAAUAUAAGUGGAGCCAACUACAACAAAUGCUUCAACCUGGUGAACAGAAAGAAGAGAAGCCAUGGUGAGGCAAGAAAACAAAGUCUCCAGACCUUCAAUAUGGAACCACAAUACACUUUUAUUUUUCUCACAUCAUGUUAUGUACCAUCUUAUAUCACAUAUCCAUAUGUGGAACUUUUGUCAUUGUAUCUUAGCAAAGCUUUUAGGGAAGGCAAACGUGUCUGGAAACUGAGGCACAGUAGCUGCUCAUUUCCGUGCUGGAAGCACCCUCAUUGCCCAGUAUGCAGAUGUGCUGACACAGUGGCUGCCUGUGUGGCCACCUCACCCCACCAUCCACUCACCUGUCACAUUGGCUGAGUCUCAGAGGAGAACCAAAUAUGACUUUCCUCAGACAUCAUGCUGGACCUCAUGCAGCUGCUGUACAGAAAAGAGUAUGGCACAUGGCCUGACAGCUCCUUCUUCUGCCUCCCUGAACCAGCUGGGGCUGCAAAACCACCAUUCUCAGAAGAUAACACUUGCCUGAGCGUUUGCAGGAGUACCACUCUGUUCUUUGUGGGCUAGUGACUCAGCCAGACAGUCAUGUCCUACACACUGCUUCUUCUGUGCUAACAUGCUGAGUGUCUUGGAGAGUCAGGCCCACCAUGUUCACAUGGUCUUUCCUUCUAACAGAGUUCCCAUUAGAUCUUCCGGAGGGUACCAGUCAUGACAUUGUGAGAUUGGACCCUGGGAAGGUGUUUUCACAACAGAAAAAGAGCAUAUCCUGCUGAAAAUGUACCUACUGAGAUGAUGCAAUUUCAUCUGUAAAAAGAACCUUAUUCAGAAAUCGUCAGUGACAUGAUACAGCUAAUUAAGGCAUGCAUGGUGCUAGCAGUUUCAUUAGAGGGGAUAAUAUUGCACAAGAAAAAUAAGAAAUCAUUAUGAUGGAUGUCCCAACAUUACAUUACAUGUUAAUGAAGUGUAAAUGAUCUAAUUAUUUUUGAAAGAACACAGAUUCGAUUAAACUGUCGG